CUACGGGCCGCACCAGUAAGGAAUAUUGCGCAAUGGAGGCAACUCUGACGCAGCCAUGCCGCGUGCAGGACUGAAGGCCUUAUGGGUCGUAAACUGCUUUUAUUUAGGAAUAAACUUUCGUACGUGUACGAGACUGAAGGUACUAAAUGAAUAAGCACCGGCUAACUCCGUGCCAGCAGCCGCGGUAAUACGGAGGGUGCAGGCGUUAUCCGGAUUUAUUGGGUUUAAAGGGUGCGCAGGCGGACUAUUAAGUCAGAGGUGAAAUCCCGGAGCUCAACUUCGGAACUGCCUUUGAUACUGGUAGUCUUGAAUACGGUUGAAGUAGGCGGAAUGUAGCAUGUAGCGGUGAAAUGCAUAGAGAUGCUACAGAACACCGAUCGCGAAGGCAGCUUACUAAGCCGAUAUUGACGCUCAGGCACGAAAGCGUGGGGAGCGAACAGGAUUAGAUACCCCCGUAGUC
rnacentral:rRNA from 1 species